rnacentral:rRNA from 1 species
GUGGGAGCAAGAUCUCGGAGAUGGAUUCUGAGACAUGAAUCCAGGCCCUACGGGGCGCAGCAGGCGCGCAAACUUUACAAUGCGAGCAAUCGUGAUAAGGAAACCCUGAGUGCCUGUCGAUGCAGGCUGUUCAUAUAUCUAAAUCAUAUGUGAAGAAAGGGCAGGGCAAGACCGGUGCCAGCCGCCGCGGUAAUACCGGCUGCUCGAGUGAUGGCCACUAUUACUGGGUUUAAAGCGUCCGUAGCUUGAUUGUUAGGUCUCUUGGGAAAUCUUCACGCUCAACGUGAAGGCGUCCAAGAGAUACCGGCAAUCUUGGAACUGGGAGAGGUAAACCGUACUUCGGGGGUAGGAGUGAAAUCUUGUAAUCCUCGAGGGACGACCUAUGGCGAAGGCAGUUUACCAGAACAGCUUCGACAGUGAGGGACGAAAGCUGGGGGAGCAAACGGGAUUAGAUACCCCGGUAGUCCCAGCCGUAAACAAUGUGCGUUAGGUAUGUCGGUAACCACGUGUUACUGAUGUGCCGAAGAGAAAUCGUGAAACGCACCACCUGGGAAGUACGGUCGCAAGGCUGAAACUUAAAGGAAUUGGCGGGGGAGCACCACAACAGGUGGAGCCUGCGGUUUAAUUGGAUUCAACGCCAGA